rnacentral:lncRNA from 1 species
GUGCCAGUGGCGCGGGCUGAGCUCGGCGCUGCGGGCUUUGGAGGCGCAGCGGGGCCGGGAGCAGCGCGAGGACAGUGCCCUGCGCUCCUUCCUGGCCGAGUUGAGCCGCGCGCCGCGCGGGGCGUCCGCACCACCCCAAGACCCGGCCAGCUCAGCUCGCAACAAGCGCAGCCACAGCGGCGAGCCCGCGCCGCAUAUCCGCGCCGAGAGCCAUGACAUGCUGAUGAUGAUGACCUACUCCAUGGUGCCGAUCCGAGUGAUGGUGGACCUGUGCAACAGCACCAAGGGCAUCUGCCUCACAGGACCUUCUGGACCACCAGGACCUCCGGGAGCCGGCGGGUUGCCAGGACACAACGGAUUGGAUGGACAGCCUGGUCCUCAGGGCCCAAAAGGAGAAAAAGGAGCAAAUGGAAAAAGAGGAAAAAUGGGUAUUUUUGGCAACUCUUCUAAUUAAUUUCCCUGUUAUUUAUCUCCAUGAUUGCAUUUGGGUCGACUAAAACUGUGUGCAGCAGGGGUAAGGUGUUUCAUCUCUGCACAGUUUAAGGCCGGUUUAACUCUUACCUAGAAGCCAUUGCGUUCCGGGAUACCAAGGGUAUACUUCUUGGUCCCACCUUGACAGAUGUUUAUUUCAAACUGGAGAAGCCGUCUCCUGGGAACUGACUCGCACCCUUCUGCUGCAGAUGGGAGGUGGAAGGAGCAGGAGCCCACAGCCCUGGGAGGGGCAUUCUGUGGGCCGUGUGACAGCUGGUGCUGGUGCAUGCUCUUUCGAGGCUCAGCUCCUGCCUUGCCCUCUAUUGCCUCCUCCUGCCCAGCGAAUCUGUGUUUGGUUGAAAAUCAAUGAACUGAUGUUGGCCCCUGGUAAGGCAUUUCUUGGCUAGAGGAAUAGCUCAAACUGCUUGAGUGGAAAGGCAGCAUCCUGGCCUCCCUGUGGCCGGCACUCAGGUCAAAGGGUCUCCUCUUCAGGGGCUACAGGAUAACUAUGAAGAUAUGGCUGGCAUCUCGGAGGAGCUUCCUUUGCCCUGUUAUGAGCAGGCCAUCACCACUGGAGAAAAGGCCCAGAAGCACCAAGGCACGAGAUGUGCCCAGGGAGCAGUAAGAAUCAGGGGCUGGUGCAGGGCCUGGCAGGAGGCUGGGGCACAAAGGGGAAGAUUCUGAAGGGCUCUGAGCACCAGUCCUGGGGAGCCGGGGUCAGGGCAGAUCCACCUGAAGAAAGCUGGCACAUGCUGUGGUGGGAGCUCAAAGACAGAGGGUAAGAAACUACUCAGGAGGCUCCUACGAAGGCCUGGCUCUCAGCCACCCGUCAAAGCCACUGCUGAGGGCAGAGGGAGGUUGUUUUCAGCCGGAGACUCCACUGCACCAUCUUAUUUUCAACCUCUUGGCUCUGCUACCCAAACUCACUUGGACUGGCCCUGGACGAGAAGAAAUGGUAGAAAAUUCUUCCAGACAGCAAUUACUCCUUUGGUCACCUCCACUCUUAUUCUCAUUAGCAAUUGAAGUAAGGGCCAGUGGAGAGGGAAAAAUUGUCGAGCACCUCUGACACUUGGCAGUGCCUACCUGCUUGUGUUCCAGAGGGCAGCUUCAGAGAAAACGGGCACACACCGUCCAAGCCAGCUCAAUCCUCAGAAGGCCAGUAAUUACCAUUGGAAUUACACAGCAGCAAUGGAUCGUUCAUAUAGGAUAAUAAUUAUAAUUAUACAUGAGCAUCGCUGUAGAAUAAUGAUGCCUAUUGGCUUAUCCUGGGAAGACUCCAAAAAUGUGAUUCAGUCCUGAGGCCUCGGCAAUGGGCAUGAUGAGGGCAGGCUCAGGGGCAGGAGGGCACCCUGCUAGAGCUGGGUGUGGGGCACGUAGGAAAGGGGUGGUUUUCAAAAAGGCUUGAGACAGAUCCCUGGCCUUGAGGAUGUGCUUCGCAUGCAGCCUGCAACCCAGGGAGUGCAGAAAAGAAAAAGUGCAUUUGUUUAUGGAGCACAUAUUUGUGUGGCAGGUACCAUUCUAGAUGCUGGAGAUUCAGAAAUAAGCCCCCCUCCUCCACCUUCACGAGGCUUACAUCCUAGCUGGGAGAGACGGAUAAUAAAUAAGAUAAAUAAAUAG